CAGGCUCUAGAUCUGAGGGGAAAUAGAUGCUGCUGGCCUAGAAAUUCCGGACUUAAUACCAGUGUCCAGCUUGAUAGCCAAGCCACCUUGUUCGUGGCUUGGGGGCCCCACCUUCGUGCAUCAACUGGCUCUCACCCUAGUCUUCCUUCCAUCCGUUGGCUUUUUCACAUAUUCCUAUCACAUUUCCCGAAGAUAUAGCCUUUUGUGGCAUUAAACCAACUGGAAUGAACUACUGGACUGGGGUUCGUGCCCAUCUCUAAUCUGUGAACACCGCAAACCCCUUUAAGAAAUAGGUUUCAAUAAGAACCUUUGCUGAAGGCAUUCUGAGUCAUCCUGGGCUUGGUGAUUUGUGCUGUUCUUCUGAACUGGUUACGUUCCUUUGAUGAAGGAAAAACACACAGGACAAACCCACUGAUUUCAUUGAUUUAAAGCAAUGUCUGAAUGGAAUACCACCUGGUUCCAUGUGGAAACACCUCUGGACAUGAUAGAGAAAGAAUGAGUGGGACCUCAUGAAGGUUCUUUCCCCCUCCGACCUCCUUUACAUGGAUAUUUAAAAUGGGUUGGAUAAAAUCACCUAGAAGAUUUGCAGAAAUAGAGAGCACUGUCUGUCAUAAUGACUAUGUAAGAAUAUAUGAAGCAUCAUCAGCCUGACAACUUCCCACUAUGGAUUAUGCUUAAUGGGUGAACUCUGCCCAGAAUGACAUACUUCAUAAUGAACUAGCCACGCAAUCAUUUUAAUACAGCUCCAGAACCCAGAUCGCAUCUUACCGCAUCCUUGAAGUUCCAGAUACAACUUCUGAGUUACGACCUGCAGAUGUGAUGGCAUGGAAAUGGUCUCAUCAAUGGCUUAUUACAUGAUGUAUUGACUCUAACAUAUAAAAAAUGAGUGGAAGAAUGAGU